rnacentral:rRNA from 1 species
GGAAAUCAGCCNGUACUCCGAAUGCAUCAGAUUAUAAUUUGAUCAUUGGCUCAGAGUGANCGCUGGCGUGUAGGCCUAACACAUGCAAGUCGAACGGCAGCACAGGAGAGCUUGCUCUCUGGGUGGCGAGUGGCGGACGGGUGAGGAAUACAUCGGAAUCUACUCUGUCGUGGGGGAUAACGUAGGGAAACUUACGCUAAUACCGCAUACGACCUACGGGUGAAAGCAGGGGACCUUCGGGCCUUGCGCGAUUGAAUGAGCCGAUGUCGGAUUAGCUAGUUGGCGGGGUAAAGGCCCACCAAGGCGACGAUCCGUAGCUGGUCUGAGAGGAUGAUCAGCCACACUGGAACUGAGACACGGUCCAGACUCCUACGGGAGGCAGCAGUGGGGAAUAUUGGACAAUGGGCGCAAGCCUGAUCCAGCNCAUACCGCGAUGGGUGAAGAAGGCCUUC